CCUACGGGUGGCAGCAGUGAGGAAUAUUGGUCAAUGGACGGAAGUCUGAACCAGCCAUGCCGCGUGCAGGAAGACGGCUCUAUGAGUUGUAAACUGUUUUUGUACAAGGGUAAACCUUAAUACGUGUAUUCAGCUGAAAGUACUGUACGAAUAAGGAUCGGCUAACUCCGUGCCAGCAGCCGCGGUAAUACGGAGGAUCCAAGCGUUAUCCGGAUUUGUUUGGCUUAAAGGGUGCGUAGGCGGAUGGAUAAGUUAGAGGUGAAAUGCCCGAGCUUAACUCGGGAACUGCAUUUAAUACUGGUGAUCUAGAGAGUAGAUGAGGUAGGCGGAAUGUAUGGUGUAGCGGUGAAAUGCUUAGAGAU
rnacentral:rRNA from 1 species